UAGGAAAGCCAAGAUAGCUGGUUCUCUA
rnacentral:piRNA from 1 species